GAUGAACGCUGGCGGCGUGCCUAAUACAUGCAAUUCUAGCGAACGGACGAGAAGCUUGCUUCUCUUAUGUUAGCGGCGGACUGGUGAGUAACACUUGGAUAACCUACCUAUAAGACUUGGAUAACUUCGUGAAACCGGAUCUAAGACCUGAUAAUAUUUUUAACCACAUGGUUCAAAAUUAAAAGACUUUCUUGCUGUCACUUAUAGAUGUAUCCGCGCUGCAUUGGCUAGUUGGUAAGGUAACGGCUUACCAAGGCAACGAUGCAUAGCCGACCUGCGAGGGUGAUCGGCCACACUGGAUUUUGGACACGGUCCAGCCUCCUACGGUAGGCAGCAGUCGGGAAUCUUACGCAAUGGGCGAACGCAUGACGGACCACAGCCGCGUGAGUGAUGAAGGUCUUCGGAUCGUAAAACUCUGUUAUUAGGGAAGAACAUAUGUGUAAGUAAAUGUGCACAUCUUGACGGUACCUAAUAAGAAAGCCACGGCUAACUACGUG
rnacentral:rRNA from 1 species